CAAUGCCUUGAGUUCAGUUCAGGGCAGCUUCCCUGUUCUGUUAAUUAAACUUUGGGACAUUGAACCAGCUAGAGUAGACGAUUAUCUAGAAUAUAUUACUCUAUUCAUUUACUUCCCAACUUAACAAA
ensembl:snoRNA